rnacentral:lncRNA from 9 species
CGCCAUCUUUGGCAGCUUGGUCUAUUGGGCAGACCGCUUGUUUCCGCCUGAGGCACUGGCUGGUGUAUUUCUCCUGCCAUGUCUUUCAGAGAGAGGCGAGGGUCGGCCUCAGGUAGUCAGGGCAGAGGUAGUGCAAUGGGCCACGACCCUGGAUUAGUCAGGGGAGGAGCCAUGCCUGGAGAAUGGCAAGCCAGGUUUGGCAGGGGCGCAGUCCACAGGGAUCUCGAGGCAGUUGUGGGAGCCUUCUGGGAGGAUGAGGAGGAUGAGCAGGAGGGCGCCCAGAACAUAGCUGAGGAGUACUGGGAUGUACAGCCUGUAGAAGAGGAGGAAGAGGCAGAAGAAGAGGAGGAGGAAAUUGAGGAGGAGGAGGAGGAUGAAGAAGAGGAGGGAGAGAUGGGAGAGGAGGGAGAUGAGGAUGAGGGGAGAGACGAGGAGGGUGAAGAGGAUGAGGAGGACAAAGAAGAGGAGGAAGAGGAAGACAGCGAGGAGGAAGACGACGACAGCGAGGAGGAAGAUGAGGAUUUUGUGGACCAAGAGGAGGUGGAGAAGCUUGGUCUUCCUGGGGCCAAAGCACCAGAUGCUGCUGCUUUUAAACUGGGAUAUUUUUUCCAGCGACUUAUGAUCCCAAAGUCUGUACCAGUCUUUGAAGAGGAUGAAUAUCUGGACGAAUAUUAUGAUGAAGAGGAAGAGGAUGAAAAUGAAAAGCCAGAAGAACUCGAAAUGGAUGUGGUCUCAAAAGAGGGCAGCCAUGAAAAAUAAAGUUGGAAGGCAUAGAAAGAAAAGGACAGCGGAAGGGAACAUGAAUUUGUCCUUUACAGAUGUUUUAGUUUUUAUUAGCCCAAAAUGUUAAUUUUUUUUCAAAGUUCAAAUGAUAUUACCUGACACCUGACUUUACCCUUAUCAUUUACAAAUAUAUUUGACAGCAUUGUUCACAUUGAAAAUAAAAACUUGUUUGAAAUG